rnacentral:rRNA from 1 species
UACGUAGGGUGCAAGCGUUGUCCGGAAUUAUUGGGCGUAAAGAGCUUGUAGGCGGUUUGUCGCGUCUGCUGUGAAAUUUCGGGGCUCAACCCCGAACUUGCAGUGGGUACGGGCAGACUAGAGUGUGGUAGGGGAGACUGGAAUUCCUGGUGUAGCGGUGAAAUGCGCAGAUAUCAGGAAGAACACCCGUGGCGAAGGCGGCUCUCUGGGACGUGACUGACGCUGAGACGCGAAAGCGUGGGGAGCAAACAGG